CAGAGUAUAGCUGUUUGCAGCUUAUCUAGGUCAAAAUUUGAAUUCAACUGAUAGACAAAAAGUGCGCGUCUCCUUGCUGUUCAUAUUUAAUGUGUUUUCAAGCUAGCUAAACACAAAGAUUAAGGCUGGAAUAUCAACUUCUGCUCAUUCGUCGUAAGGUUAAAUCAACCAGUGGUGCAGGGAAUUGAUUGUAUAGUCAGCGUUGAUUGCAUCAGAUUCUUCGCCCGUGAAAUUUAUACAAAGGAAUGCAACAUUUUGCUUUUGCUUUAGAGGAUGGAUUCUCCUGUUUAUUUCUUUCAUUCGUGGGACUUAACUAUAUGUGUGAUUAAAAUCAAUGGAUCCGCCACUUUGUGGAACUUAGUAGUGUAAGGCAGACGCGUACUUUGAAGGACCUGGAUGUGAUUACUGUGACCCACUUUUCACUUGGAAUAUAAAUUUUGUAAAGCAGUGAUUUUUGAGAUUCAGUGAUUGAAUCCGAAUUUGUGUUUGUCUUUAAAAAAAAUAAAUUCUCUUACAAUCAUAAUAC